CUUUUUACGCUAGCGCGAGGGGUGAUUCAAAUAUGACGUUUCUUGCCGACAACCGAAUUUCAGUUCAAUGCCAUCCUAGUAGACUAUUUGGGAGUUUGUUGAUUGGAAUGUCAAAAAUUUUCACUGUUUGGAUCUGUUUUGCACCAACAGCGAUUCUCAGGGUCAACUAUGGAGGAAUUUGAUUGGAUAUAUUUGUAUGUGAAAAUAUGUUAAUAAUUGACGAUUUCGACGAAUAACCUAGCAUACCCUCUGUAUUCUCCAUUUAGCAGUGUCCAGUAAUGUUUUUCCUCAAUAAUAUCAAAUGGAGCAGAAGUUCGUUUUGGCAAAAAAUGAUGCGUAUAGGGACCUUGUUAGGGAUAGUCGGAUACGGCAGUCAUUGGUCCAUAUUCGCAUUUCAACAUUUUACUGUUGGUCAAGCAUCCCAGGGUCAAGCUAAUUAUACCAAUAAUUCGUCUAAUAAAUAAUUCGUCUGGUAAUAUAACGAGUUUAUUCUUUAGAUUCCCAUAAUAAGAGCAUAUUAUAAAGUUCUAUUAUGGUAAUAAUGUGCUGCCAAAAGUUGAAUCAUUUGCUUAGAAAACCACCUUCAAAACGCAAAUCAGAGUGCGUGAGAAUUGGCAGAGCUUUGUAGUUAAAUUCAGAUGAUUUCAGCUCUCAGACUUUCAAUUGAUUUCCGAUAAAAAUGCUCGUAGUUGACCUAAAAAGAACCAAAAAACAAUUUAAUUGCUUCAGUAGAAUAAAUAUACCUAUAUUAUCAUUUCAAA